rnacentral:rRNA from 1 species
UGGGGAAUAUUGGACAAUGGGGGAAACCCUGAUCCAGCGACGCCGCGUGUGUGAAGAAGGCCUGCGGGUUGUAAAGCACUUUCGGUGGGAACGAAAUAUGCCGGGCUAAUACCCCGGUAGGCUGACGUUACUCAAUGAAGAAGCACCGGCUAACUCUGUGCCAGCAGCCGCGGUAAUACAGAGGGUGCAAGCGUUAAUCGGAAUUACUGGGCGUAAAGCGUGCGUAGGUGGUUUGUUAAGUCAGGUGUGAAAUCCUCGGGCUCAACCCGGGAACUGCGCUUGAUACUGGCAGACUCGAGUGUGGUAGAGGAUAGUGGAAUUCCCGGUGUAGCGGUGAAAUGCGUAGAUAUCGGGAGGAACAUCAGUGGCGAAGGCGGCUAUCUGGACCAACACUGACACUGAGGUACGAAAGCGUGGGUAGCAAACAGGAUUAGAUACCCCAGUAGUCCCUGAGCGGGCUGGCAAGGCGCAU